rnacentral:lncRNA from 1 species
AUUACCCGCGGGUAGUAAAUAUCUGCGGGUAAGGUUUUGCCCGCAGAUACCCCUGCUCGUGGAUUUUUUUGCCAUCCCUAGUUCACGCAUUUUAUUUUAAGUGUUGAAUCCUUGAUGAAUUUCAUUUUAGUUAAGUGUUUUUAUUUUUAUUAUCGGUUGCAUUUUACCGUUCAUCAUUUGCUUCAUUGCUGUGUUUUGUCAUUGUGUUUUACUAUUCAUCUUGUUUUCAAGUACUGUUUCAAUCUCAGUUUUCUUUUACUGAUGCUUCUACUGUUGCAUUUAAUGUUUAAUUUCAUUUGGUACAUUUCAACUAAGAUGUUCUUACAUUUUCUGCGUGUUUAUUGUUCUAGUGUUUUGUUUUCAAAUCCGGAUGAAUUCUGUAUUUUUUGGUUUUGCUACGUUUAGACCGUCCGUUCUCUGAUUGUGUUGUUCAGCCUUACUAUUUUGACAUUUACUUCAACGCUUUCAAUUCUGUCAUGUUUAAUUUAAUGUUUUAGUUCAAUUCAGUUGCAUUCAAAAACUCUUCACAACCCCCCCCA